AGUAUGUGAAGAGUAGUUAAGGUUGCCACCUUUCUUGGAAAAAAAUACCAACCUUAAUCAUUUGUAUAAUUAAUUAGUUAUGCGUGUAAAUCACAAGGAGUGAAAAUUCUGUAAAAUCACCAACAAACUACUCACAGUUUGAUUCUGCUGUAUAGACGGAUUGCUCCCAGUGUCUCCCUGUCUCCCAGUGUCUCAGUCUCGCAAGUCACCCAGUGUCUCAGUGUCCCUAUGUAUCACAGUGUCAGUGUCCCCAUGUCACCCAGUCCCCUAGUCUCCCAGUGUUUGUGUCCCCAUUUCUCCCAGUGUCCCAAUGUCUCAGUGUGUCCCCAUGUCACUAGGAUACUGGGGACACUGAGAGACAUGGGGACACUGAGAGACCCGGGGACACAGAGACAUGGGGACACUGGGAGACAUGGGGACACUGAGACAUUUAGGGAAACUGGGAGAAAUGGGGACACUGAGACACUAGGGACACAGACACUGGGAGACAUGGGGACACUGAAACAUUUGGGGACACUAAGACACUAGGGACACAGACAUGGGAACAAAGACACUGGGAGACUAGGGGACACUGGGAGACUAGGGGA